AGUGAACGCUGGCGGUAGGCCUAACACAUGCAAGUCGAACGGCAGCACAGUAAGAGCUUGCUCUUACGGGUGGCGAGUGGCGGACGGGUGAGGAAUACAUCGGAAUCUACUUUUUCGUGGGGGAUAACGUAGGGAACCUUACGCUAAUACCGCAUACGACCUACGGGUGAAAGCAGGGGAUCCUCGGACCUUGCGCGAUUGAAUGAGCCGAUGUCGGAUUAGCUAGUUGGCGGGGUAAAGGCCCACCAAGGCGACGAUCCGUAGCUGGUCUGAGAGGAUGAUCAGCCACACUGGAACUGAGACACGGUCCAGACUCCUACGGGAGGCAGCAGUGGGGAAUAUUGGACAAUGGGCGCAAGCCUGAUCCAGCCAUACCGCGUGAGUGAAGAAGGCCUUCGGGUUGUAAAGCCCUUUUGUUGGGAAAGAAAAGCAGCAGGUUAAUACCCCGCUGUUCUGACGGUACCCAAAGAAUAAGCACCGGCUAACUUCGUG
rnacentral:rRNA from 1 species